rnacentral:rRNA from 1 species
UACGAAGGGGGCUAGCGUUGUUCGGAAUCACUGGGCGUAAAGGGCGCGUAGGCGGCCGAUCAAGUCGGGGGUGAAAGCCUGUGGCUUAACCACAGAAUGGCCUUCGAUACUGUUUGGCUUGAGACCGGAAGAGGUUAGUGGAACUGCGAGUGUAGAGGUGAAAUUCGUAGAUAUUCGCAAGAACACCAGUGGCGAAGGCGGGUCUCUGGGCCGAUACUGACGCUGAGGAGCGAAAGCGUGGGGAGCGAACAGG